rnacentral:piRNA from 1 species
UGGGAAGUUCGUGCCGACUCUCAUUUCGA